UACGUAGGGGGCAAGCGUUGUCCGGAAUGAUUGGGCGUAAAGGGCGCGUAGGCGGCUUUAUAAGUCUGGAGUGAAAGUCCUCUUUUCAAGGGAGGAAUUGCUUUGGAAACUAUAGAGCUUGAGUGCAGGAGAGGUUAUCGGAAUUCCCGGUGUAGCGGUGAAAUGCGUAGAUAUCGGGAGGAACAUCGGUGGCGAAGGCGGGUAACUGGACUGCAACUGACGCUGAGGCGCGAAAGUGUGGGGAGCAAACAGGAUUAGAUACCCCGGUAGUUCCUGAGCGGG
rnacentral:rRNA from 1 species